rnacentral:rRNA from 1 species
CAGCAGCCGCGGUAAUACGUAGGUGGCAAGCGUUGUCCGGAAUUAUUGGGCGUAAAGGGCUCGUAGGCGGUUUCUUAAGUCUGAUGUGAAAGCCCCCGGCUCAACCGGGGAGGGUCAUUGGAAACUGGGAAACUUGAGUGCAGGAGAGAAAAGUGGAAUUCCUAGCGUAGCGGUGAAAUGCGUAGAGAUUAGGAGGAACACCAGUGGCGAAGGCGGCUUUUUGGCCUGUAACUGACACUGAGGCGCGAAAGCGUGGGGAGCAAACAGGAUAGAUACCCCGGUAGUCCCUGUCUCUUAUACC